AUUGAACGCUGGCGGAAGGCCUAACACAUGCAAGUCGAAAGAGUGGCGGACGGGUGAGUAAUGUCUGGGAAACUGCCUGCUGGAGGGGGAUAACUCCUGGAAACGUUAGCUAAUACCGCAUACCAUCGGAUGUGCACAGAUGGGAUUAGCUAGUAGGUGGGGUAACGGCUCACCUAGGCGACGAUCCCUAGCUGGUCGGAGAGGAUGACCAGCCACACUGGAACGGAGACACGGUCCAGACGCCGACGGGAGGCAGCAGUGGGGAAGAUUGCAAAAUGGGCGAAAGCCUGAUGCAGCCAUGCCGCGUGUAUGAAGAAGGCCUUCGGGUUGUAAAGUACUUUCAGCGGGGAGGCGUUACCCGCAGAAGAAGCACCGGCUAACUCCGUGCCAGCAGCCGCGGUAAUAC
rnacentral:rRNA from 1 species